GGGGCGCUGGCAGAGAGGCCUAUUGCACUCGGUUUGAACCCGAGAGGGUGCGGCAAUCCCGUGCCCCAUCCGUUCGAUUCGGAUGCGCCCUUCCA
rnacentral:tRNA from 1 species